rnacentral:rRNA from 1 species
UACGUAGGUGGCAAGCGUUACUCGGAAUCACUAGGCGUAAAGCGCAGGUAGGCGGUUUGAUAAGUCUGUUGUGAAAGCUCCCGGCUUAACUGGGAGAGGCCAACGGAAACUGUCAGGCUAGAGUGUGGUAGAGGAAGAUGGAAUUCCCGGUGUAGCGGUGAAAUGCGUAGAUAUCGGGAGGAAUACCUAUGGCGAAAGCAGUCUUCUGGACCAUCACUGACGCUGAUCUGCGAAAGCUAGGGGAGCAAACAGG